rnacentral:rRNA from 1 species
AUUGUAGAGUAUUAAUGUAUACGGAGGAUGCCUUGGGUCUUUGUGCCGAUGAAGGACGUGCUAGGCUGCGUUAAGUUUCGAGGAGCUGCCAAGAAGCGCUAUCACUCGAAAAUGUCCGAAUGGGGAAACCCGGUCUAUAGAAAUAUAAGGUCGCCAUAUAAUAAAACUUAGCAGUUUACUGCUGGGCAUAGUUAUAUUGGAGGGUACUCAGCGAAUUGAAACAACUUAGUAGCUGAAGGAAAAGAAACUAAAUUAAGUAUUUCCUAAGUAGCGGCGAGCGAAAAGGAAGAAGCCCAAACCCAAUCUGAAUUUAAAAUUAUUUACUGCGAUUUGCGGUUGCAUAAGCGGAGUAAAUACGGUAAGCAAUUUUAAAUUCAGACCCUGGGGGUGUGGACAACCCACGCCAGACACGCAAGUGGACUGGGAAAGGUUACAAAUUUUUUUGGUAGGAGAAGCCAGAUGAAAAGCUGCGCCAAAGCGGGUUACAGCCCCUUAUCCGAAACCAAAAAAACCUUUUGGGUUGUUCCCGAGUAGCAUGGGACACGUGUAAUCCUGUGUGAAAAUAGCGGGACCAUCCGCGAAGGCUAAAUACACAAAGACACCGAUAGUGUAGCAGUACCGUGAGGGAAAGGUGAAAAGAACCCCUGUUAGGGGAGUGAAAUAGAUUCUGAAACCGUAUACAAACAAACAGCCGGAGCCUUACCGCAAGGUGGGUGACGGUGUGCCUAUUGAAGAAUGAGCCAACGAGUUUAGUUUGCACGCAAGCUUAAGCAUCUCAGAUGUGGAGGCGUAGGGAAACCGAGUCUUAAAAGGGCGCGCUGUUUUUUCAGCUAAGUGUGUAAACUAAGACCCGAAGCCAAGUGAGCUAACCAUGAGCAGGAUGAAGCUGGAGUAAAACCCAGUGGAGGUCCGAACCGGUGUGUGAGGAAAAACGCUCGGAUGACUUGUGGUUAGGGGUGAAACGCUAAACGAACUUGGCGAUAGCUGGUUCUCCUCGAAAUAUAUUUAGGUAUAGCCUCAAGUAAAGAGCAUGUAAGAGGUAGAGAUACUGGAAUGGGAGUGGGCUCGCAAGAGUACCCUUCUAUACCAAACUCCGAAUGCUUGCAUGUGUUCCUUGGGAGUCAGUGCUGGAGAGCAAGUUUCUAGCACAAAAGGGCAACAACCCAGACCAUCAGCUAAGGUCCCUAAUUUCUACUAAGUGGGUAAGGUAGUGGAAUUGUUAAGACAGCUAGGAGGUUGGCUUAGAAGCAGCCAUCCUUUAAAGAAAGCGUAACAGCUCACUAGUUUAACGAUUCUGCGCCGAUAAAUUCAACGGGGCUAAGUAGAAAACCGACGCUAUGGGUUUAUGCAUUUAUUUGCAUAGACGGUAGAGGAGCUUUGAUGUUGUGGUGAAGGUGUAUCCGUGAGGAGCGCUGGAACGGCAUCAAGUGAGAAUGUUGGCAUGAGUAACGAGAGAGUGGUGAAAACCCACUCCGCCGGAAGUCUAAGGUUUCCUCCGCUAUGGCAGUCAACGGAGGGUUAGCCGACCCUAAGAUAAGGCCGAAAGGCGUAGUCGAUGGACAGCAGGUUAAUAUUCCUGCGCUUUCAGGCAAUCGCAUACAUCCGCAAGGAUGGACGCGCAAGCGUCAAACCGAUGGAAGGACGGAGUCUGACUCUCCAAGCCCAUUAUGGAUUUGGGUCCAAAAAGCAAGACAGUUCGUGUUGGCAAAUCCGCACGAGCGUUUAUUCGAGCUUAUGGAAAAGAUUUCGCAAGAAGUCUAAUUUGGAAGGGUUAAGUUUCCAAGAAAAUUUUCUAGGGAGAUUGUUUGAAAUUCGUACCGCAAUCCGACACAGGUAGACAAGUUGAGAAUACUAAGGCGAACGAGAUAACCGUGGCCGAGGAACUAGGCAAAUUACAUCCGUAACCUCGGGAAAAGGAUGCCCUGCCGCAAGGUAGGGGUCACAAAAAAGGCUCAAGCGACUGUUUAACAAAAACACAGGUCUCUGCUUAACCCGUAAGGGGACGUAUAGGGGCCGACGCCUGCCCAGUGCCCGUAAGUUAAAUCUGGAGGUCAAUCUAUUUAUUUAGAUGAAGCUUUCGGUACAAGCUCGGGUGAACGGCAGCAGUAACUAUAACUGUAGUAGUAGGGCAGUUGAGAACAGUCUUGUUAAAAGCAAGUAUUUGCUGUUCCUUCUAAUCAUGAAAAGUAGUUGGAAGAAAAAUUUGGCUAUAUGCUGGGACGUCCGUCCACAUUAAUU